rnacentral:tRNA from 1 species
GCAUUAAUGGGGUAGUGGUAACCUGGGUCGUUGCCAUGAUUCGAACAUGAGUUCGACCCGCCGGGGGUUCGAUUCCCCCUUAAUGCA